rnacentral:lncRNA from 1 species
AAGCAAUUUGCUCAUAGCCAUAGCUUUCUUGUGAAAGUAGGAUAUUAACCCAGGUGUCUUGGUGCUGGAGAACAGAACUGGCCAGAGUCCAUCCUGUCUCCCACCGGCAUCCCAUUACGAAAUGAACACAGAAAAGGCAGGUCUGCAAUGCCAACAUCUAGUAUCUAUCCCAAAGACCAGGGAGAAAGGAAGGAAAGAUUCUGGUUCUGUCCUCUUCCCCAAGGCAAGGCUGGCUGCCCUACCAACAGAGGCAAAGAGAAGAGUGUGCAAGGCUGGCUGCCCUCCCAACAGAGGCAAAGAGGAGUGUGUGUUGAAAUAUCCAUUGAAUCCCUGAGACAACUGGAUCCUGGCCCAUUGAAUCAUAAACUCAUUUCAGAGAAGAUGAAACUGAUGUGCGUCAAAAAGUUAUGGAGGCUGGGAAGACCUAGAAUGUGGCAUCACUAUUUGGUUAUUUAGAAAAUUGUUACCUCAAAAAUGACCUAGGGGUCCUUAGAAUAAUAACACACAGAAGAAUAGCCUCAUUUUUCUGUUGGGCCCAGGAAACCAUGCCGAUUACCGACCGAGCUCUCAAUGGAAAAAUGCAGUCGGCGUGAACCACGCACGAACACAGCAGAGAAAGAAGAAAACACACACCACGAGGAACCCUAAUAGGACAAUACAUUAUAAGCCUCAUGGUACAUCCACUUGGUGUGCUGGGAGAGUCAGGAUGAGGACCUGAGAAGAACAGCAGCUUGAACCUGACUUCAUUUAACAGCCCACUGCCCUCUUGCCAAGAACCCAUCACAGACCUUCCCAGAAGAGAGGGAUGAGCCUCACCUAUGAAUAAGUCCUCAGAAACUCAAAUUUGAUUCUAAUGGAUUGUUUUCUCAGAAAGACUGAGCAUGUCCCCCCACAUCUCUGUCAUUUCCCACAGUAGUAACCUCUGCAGAUGCCACAUAGAAAACAAAACAAAACAAAAAAACAUGAGGUUGGUGGGCAGAUAGGCAGGGUAUAAACAAACAGCCUUGUAACCCAGAAGCUGUGUGAUAUACAGUAAACUUCACAACACUGAAAAGAUGUCCUAUCUGUUAAAAUGGGGUAAUAACAACUACCCGAAUGUUUAGGAAUAGAACUUCAAUAAAUGAUACAUUUUAUAGUACAGCAGACCAUCCUGUAAAGGUUUCAUCCUUCACUGUGGUGAUAAAUAUCCCAAACCACAUUGAAAAGCAUUGCAUCUACAUUUAUCUACACUGUAACUGUACUGUAAAUCAUGGGGGAGGGGAGAAUCAUAAAAACACCACCUGUCACCGUGUCAUUAAAGCAAGUUGGAAGUGAUACUUACAGAAACACAGCAAGAGCACCCCCAGUCACACAGUUCAAUCUCUUAGCAAGCGUUUUCUUUCUAGCCCAGUGGUUCUCAGUUUGGAAUUUUUGGCACUGCCUAGAGAUAGUUUUGUUGUUAAAACUGAGAAAAGAGCCGGGCGUGGUGGCACACGCCUUUAAUCCCAGCACUCAGGAGGCAGAGGCAGG